AUGAGGUCUUUCUGCCCAUAGUGCUUUUUCAGAGCAAGAAGUUUGGGAAGCUACAGUGCAAUAGGAAAGAAACACACACACAGCACUCUCGGCCACCUCACUGUGGUUAGGAAGCACUUCCACAUACACAGGUCAGACCAGCCCUACGGCAGACCUCUGCGAUAUACACCAAAAUGUCUCAUUAGUCAGAGCAGUCUUUCAAGAGGGAUGGAAGGCUAAAUGGGUAGACGGAGUCAACCAGAACAGGAAACCAAAUUCCCUGAAGAAUUCCCACAGCUCAGGAGUAUGCUUAGCAUAGCAGAAUAAUUCUCAGAAUUCCCAUCUUUUCUGCUGCAUAACCUCCAGCUGGCAUUGUGGUAUGGGAGAAUAGCACAAAUACACAGUUCAGAAGAGGCCACAAUAGAAAUACUGAAUUCAAUGAAUUCAACGGACCCAAGCAAGCGUCCAUGCAGUUGUGACCCCAGGUUCUCUGAAUCAAGGGCUGGGUGGGACAGAAUCAACCCAGAACAGCACUCCUGGGGGGAUUCCCCCGGAACACAACCAAUGGCAGCAGACCUUGUGCCGGGUGGAUGUUCAGAAAUGAAGCGUGCCUGAUCCCUUUCAGGAGAUUUUGCUCUCCUCUAAAAGCCUACGCACAGACUUUCCUGCACAAAUGAACUGGUCUGACAUCCCUGAGGGACCCAAAGUGAACAACUUCAUGUAGCAGUCCGUGAGAGAAGCUUUACAAUUCCAGCUUGAUUUCCCAAGGAACCCUGCCAAGGAAAGCUGUGAGUACAAGCACUGGCACAGCUAAUUUCACAUCCACCUUGACCUACCACACCCUGGUUUGAGACUUCUGUUACAUGUGCACAUUAUGCAAACCCACUCUGUGAACAAGCCAUGACUGGUUGCUUCUGGGUGAACAAUUCCCUGUUACACAGAAGUUAGGCCUAACCAUAGGGUGUUCCCCACCUUUCCCCCUGAAGCUCCCAACUAACCCCACAAAUAUCCUAGUGCCCUUCAUGGCAGAAUGUGUCUCGCCUCCCCUCGUUCUGCUCUAGUUGCUACCCUUUUCCUUUGCCGCAGUUUUGAGUAGAGUUUUUGAAGCAUCAAAGAAGCACAGCUGGGGUCACAUUAUUUUUUCCAGCCCCUGAAAAUCAUGCAAUUGUGUUAUUGACUUUUUACUGAUGAUUACUGAUCUUUUUUGAGUGCAUUCUUGUAGCUGUCCCAUAAGUAUAGUCUUGCUCAGUCAAUUUCUCUGUCUGGUUCAACUGUCAAGGAAAGUAGCAAGGUGGAGUAGCUUAGAUCAUAUUUCGAGGUUAAAUGUGUGCUAUCCAAUCCAUGCCAUGACUGACAAGACAAAAACUCCAUAUAGACUAAUUUGCACACAGUUGCCAGGGACCAGUUGCCAGGUUGUAAAUUGAGAAGCAGCAGUAUGCAGCCGGGGUGGGAAGUGAUAAAGAAGGUUAGCAGCAAUUAGGGAGAGACAAUAUCUGCCUCUUAGCAAAGUAAUCCUCUUGAUUUUAAGUACUUAACCAUCAGUACCUUUCGCCUUUCCAAUACUUCCCCAGGUCUGUAGCUCUCCAGUAAAGGGAGUUCUUAACUCCAAACAAACACAUGCAUGCACACGCGUGUGUUCCCCCGCCCGCCAUGGCGCUUCUUCCGAGCACUUACUGCUUCAGAUACUGCAUUUUCCUCACACUUCUGAAAGAGACAGACAGACAACCAAAUAUGAAAGCUGGGAAAUAAAUGAGGAGGGAAUAUGCACACCUCCAGUAACAGAGCAGUUAGUGCAGGUGUGCAAAUCUUAUCUCCAUUUACUCUCUUGUAUUAAAUUUGCACAUAGUUCAGCUCCAUUUACCCCUCAGCCAUAAAAUUUGCAUUUAUUUCUGCAUUUUUAUUACCUUUUAUUUCUGGAGUAACUGGGGAGCCAUAAAAUUAUUGAAAAGGUGAAGAGCACUGGGAAGUAUCAGCUCAGUGCUUAAAACUGAGAGGCCCCCUCUGCCAGGGAGGAAAUAUUUCUCCCCUGCUUUUUGGUGCACUGAUUCCUCUGGCUUCCCUCUUCCUACAGUGCUUCUAACUGGCUCUGCUGGGUCCCUCCUUUCACCCACUUAUUUCUCCUCUGGCCCUUUGCAACUGUUAGCUGACAGGCCACUUCAUCUUGUCAAUAUUCAUAUUGCAAGUGUGCAUUGGCACAGUUCUGAAAGAUGGACAAAAAUAACUGUCACCUUGAUUGUGCAUUUUUGAGGCCUCUGUGUGUGUGUGUGUAUGUGUGUAUGUACUUAUUUUAGCCAGAGAACAGGUAUUAUUUCAGCAUCAGCAGGACGGGUAAGACUGCAAAAAGUGAGUGAUGGAAGCUUUUUUGCUGUUCUUGCCAUGUUUUUAUUUAUUUAAAACUUUUCUACCCCGUCCACUAAUGACGCCUCGGGUCAGCUUUGCCAACCAUGGCAACUCAGGGUAGAAUCAUUCUCCCAGGUUUCAGUGAUGCAACAACCCAGUGUGAGCAAGAACACCUGGUGACAAGCCUCAGGUUCUCAAGGUAGCCUUAGGAUCUCAAGGUCCCCAAAACUAGGCUACCUGCAGAAUAUGCUGCAGGUUCAGGUGACAUGAAAAUCCCAGGCCAGCUUCCAUGGUGGGAUGCCAUGUCAUGCAAACUCAGUUUUUGUCUCAUUGUGUAGAGAGGGGACCCUACCUCUUGCACAUUAUGGCCUGCUCAGGUGGAUUCGUCCAGUUCUGAGAAGCAAGUGGGGCAGAGGACUUGGCUGUGUCAAGCUUACUCAAUGCAGAUGCAUCAGGGAGAGUGAGAGAACAGGCAUGCCUAGGAAAGGGCGGAGGAAGACUUUUCAGAGCUAGAGUGGGCAGGGAUAAGGGGGAGGUCCUUGGCCUGGUCAAGCGACAAUAGGUGAAACAAUUGCAAAGUGUUGGGUGUUCCUGCCAUCUAGUCAGCAAGCACUAGGAGCUACCUUGAGGGUGGAGCCAGAAGCUUUGUUGAAAAGGUGGGAGGGGAGGUUUCCAUUUGGAUUCAGCUCUUUACAAGGGCAGUUGCCUCCCCCAUAUCCCUAAACAAAUGCUAUUCUGAGUUAAACUUUUCUGUAACAACUUCAGUUUCAAUAAAAUGACCUGGGUUUCUAUGGGUUCAUUUUGAGUCUGCUGAAGGAGAGGGAAAGAGGGAAGUGACCUGCUCAUGACAUUUAUACACAUCUGAUCUUUCUUCAGGUCAAUUUUUGAAGUUUGCUUGUUGUACCACUUGAUUGAUUUGAUCCAGACUUGGUGUGCUUCAAGAUGAGGUUUUUAUUUUGCAUUCACCUUGCUUUGUGCAUGGAAUUUUAUGGAGGAGGUACUGUCCAGAUGAGAUUAUCUUCCAUUUGUAGCCUUUCCAUGUUGUCCAACCAUUCCUUCAAUCUAGUCACUGUUGUUAACCAGAAAAAAAGCUACAGAAGGAGAGAUGGGAUAGCUGCACAAUGCCUUUGGACAGCUAGAGCUAAGAGACCUCUGUAUGGAAGCACCCUGUCGCCUGGUCAUACCUGACCUGUUGAAAUCAAUUGGACUAACAGGUCCAUUGAUUUUGAUGGGUCUUUUCUAAGUAUAGUGAAGUCUAAUCAACUAACAGUACAUGUUCUUCCCAACUGGCUGGUUGCAUAGUUGUAAUGGCCUACUGCAAACAUGCAAAACGUAUUAUCGAAAGUUAAAAGUCUGUUAAUUAGGGUCCAAAGAGAGAAGAUGCAAAAGAACAAAAGCUAUUUGUAAUAUUUCCUUUGUGCAAUAAACAUAACUUACUAAACUCUGUAGUGCUAGUAUAGGCAAGAUGAUACUGGCUGCAUUCUUGCAAUUUUUAAAAAAGAAAUUAAUAUGCUGACUCCUGACUGAUUUUAACAACUGGAUAUGUAGAACCAUUAUUCUAAAGAUAUGCAGGAAUAUCCUAACUUUUGAGCAAGUUGAAGAAAUGUAGAUGUUAAGUUCUACCUCUUAAUGCAGAUAGGUUGUGACCAGUUCAAAUUUGCCUGAGUUGUCUAACCAGCAGGCAGAAGAAGAAUUAAAAGAAAUGGCAUGAAGAGCUCAAUUUUUAGCAAAUUCAAUCAACUGAUACCUUAGGCUCAGAAUAGAUGGUUGGCUAGGAACCUUUUGUGAAACUUUGAAACAAGUGUUCUAUGACCUUUUUUGAGCAGAUGGUAAAAUCAAUAAUGAUGGCAAAAUCUUGAAUUUAUCCACAUUUUUCGGCAUCCAGGCACAAAUUAGAAUUGUUCAUUCUGUGUUUAAUUUUAAACAUAUGCCAAAGUUUAUGAAUGGUCUUUGCCUCCCUGUUGAUGGUUUGCUAAGUUUUUAAUGGUGUGUCCUAUGCUGACUGCACAGAAUUUGGGGGUUUGCAUGGUAGUAAAUUUGAUUGCACUACAGAAUAUGACACCAUUUGAUUGUAUCCCAAAGGAUCACACUGGUUAUCCCAAACAAUUGAAAGAAGGACUGCCUUAGAAACUGUGGCUUUAGACCUGAGGGGGAGGCGUUAGUUUAAAGAGCGUUAACAAUGCCAGAUCUUUGCCAGCGUACAUCUUAAAGCAUUUUUCCAAGUAUCAAUUAAGCCUUGCAUCAUCUCUGUGAUGUAAGCAUUGCCAUUUUCAUUUGUGAAGACAAGUUGAAAGGAGAAUGGAAGGGUGAGGUUGGAAUUUUCCUCGUUACACGCCUACAAUUAAGGUAAUAUUUUAAUCUCUGCAGAUACCUGCCUACAAAAAUGUUAAAAGAGUUCUGCAUUCCUGCAGUGCUUCCCAAGUUCUUUUUGUGAAGGAUGCAUACCAUAUUCCCCUUUUCCCCCUGAGCUACCCACCUCUUCCCAAAGACAGCUCAGCAAAUAUUUAUGGCUUUUUCUACAUUUUUUGUGGCUGAUUGUCUUGUAUAUGAAGGUGCAGAAUGUUAGGGUCCAGUACUGUUUCUGUGUCAAGGUCAUAUUCUCAAUAGGAAUAUGGUGGGCUGGAAGAGAACGCUUUUAUGCAGUGAAGUCAAACAUGAAAUUCACUUGGUGCAAUCAUGUGUGUUAUGAUGGAGAAAAGUCCUGCAACUAUGGAGGGAUGUGAGAAUUGUAGGACUUUUUUCCAUCUCAGCAUGCAUAGGAGUACACUUUCAGAAGUUUUUCAAGGCUGUUUCUAGAUUAGUUUUUUGUGUGCAAUUACCCUGCUUAAAUACAGAAUGUUAUAAAGGGUCCAAGUCAGGGGUAGGGAACUUAUUGUCAGGGACUGAACCUGGCACUCUGGGGUUUCCCUUUUCCCCCAGGGACCAAUUAUUUUGUGGCUUCCUGGCUUCUGUGAAAUGUUUACUCUGAAAGAAUGUUUUCAUACCUCCACUGAGUUGGGAAGGAAGACCACCUUCAAACCAGGGGAUCAGCUGACAGCAUGGAGGUCAGUACUGUAUCCCUUGCGCUAUACAGCCUAGCCUGACUGGUUGAUAGAAGGCCCAGAGCACUGGUUGUGCCAAAGGUACGCUGCCAGAUACUGUCCUGCUCUGGGAUUGCCUUCAGCACUUUAUACACUUCAAAUCAGAAAAUGGUAUUCUGGUACUUUUUAGAUACUUUGAACUACAGCUCCCAUAUUUCUUGCUCAUUGGCCAGGCUGCCUGGGGACUGAUGGGGCUUGUAGUCCAAAUCAUUUGUAAGGCAUCAGAUUUGCUUUAAAUCUUCCAUUGACUACAUCAUCUCAGACUUUGAAUACAUAUGGCAAAUAUAUCAAGGAAGUAUAACCCUGGCCCUUUUCUAGAUGUAGACAGAGUAUGGGAACAAGCAGCUAUCCCAUACCUGCCAAUGACCACAGAUGGACCAUCACAGUGUUCCACUUGGACAGGGAUUUUGUCAACUGGAAGCAAAAAAUGAAAAUCCAUUUGGUUGUAUACUUUCAUUGACGGUCCACAGAAAUCCAUGGCCUGUAAUUUGUGAUUGGAUUCUGGGGCCAGGGUGUUAGAUUUCUGUGAAAUGCUAGCAUAGGUCUUGAUUGUAUAGUCAGAAAUCAGUGGGUAUAUGAGAUUAAGGAUAAAUCUAAAUUCAUUUGAUGAACAGGUCUUGCCUGUAGCUGAUGAUAAUUUAAUAAGAAUUUGUAGUUCAGUAAUAUACCACAUGUUGUCUCUGUUCAUGGCAGGAAUGCUAGUAUGGGAUUAGAUGGGCCAUUAAUAUAGGUCAGCAUACGGACAAUCCUUUAUCUAAAGGCAAGUACUAGCCAUUUAUCUGCUCGCAAUAAGUGAUCAGGGGCUCUUGCUUUUCCAGGAUAGAGCAAGAGAAGUGGAAGAGGUGACUUCCUGCUCUGCAUUUUCACUAAAUGGCCAUUUUAACCUCAGAUGGCAUUUCAGAGAGGGAUAGAAUGAAGCUGAAACUUCUUCAGUGUACCUCAUACCCUGGCUGCCCCAAUCUCCUCCCCUCCCCAUUUUCCUGACCUUGGAGAACAGCCAGCAUGGUUCUUUCCAAGCCAGCUGUGAGGGAGGAGUAUUGAAAAUUGGAUUGUUAGCUUAGCAGUUGGAGCAUGACACUAUCCUCUGUACUGGGAAUUCCAACUAUCCAAUAGCCCUUCAGAUGUGUAGGGGCCACAGAAUUAGGGUUCUGUGAGGAAUCCAUUUGAGGAGGAAAUCCAUCAUAUUCCCUGGACUUGGCUACCUGGACUCCUGUCUGCUUUGCAGUGGCCUUGAGUCUGAGUUCCCGGCAAGCAUGCUUGGCAUUCACCCACCCAUCAGGGGGCAUUCAGCAGGAAUCAAGCCCUACAUGUUGUACAAGCAGUAUGCCUCUUCUGCAUCACCUGCAGGAGUCAUUUGGACUGCUGCUCUUGACAUGGAAGGAGGUUGAUCAUGUGGGGCUCACCCUGCACGGCUGCUAGCAGCAUCCCUCUUUCACACUGAGUGCAGGCACUGUUUGAGCUGCUGCGCCUGAGCUGGACGAAUAUUGACUGGGCGGGGCUUACCAGGAAUGGAGACUGCUGCACAAGCAGUGUACCUCUUCCACACUCAUUGUGGCAGCCAUUUAUGCAGCUGUA